UGUAUAUGCCCGGAAGUUACCGCAUCUAUGAAACGCAGCUCCGAAACCCGCAAUAGUGCCAUAUAAAUAGUACACUAAUAGAUUAUUAUAUGCAAUUGCUAGCUAAGACGAGGCUUCAAUGGUUUCAUCUACUCUGAAAUUCAACUUGUUCUUGCUACUCACAAGUACUCUUCUCUUCAUAGCUUCAUUAUCCCAAUCAGUUCCUUCUGAAAUUUCUUCUCCCCCAGGACCUAUCCACCACCAUGUAGCACCAUGUUGGAGGGAAGUGUACGUCGUCGUAUAUGCGAAGUGAAUCGUCGGGCAGCAGUUCACCCAAGUAUUUCAAAACCUUCUCCGCAUUCGUAGAGGCAGCGUGUUGGAGAAAGUAGUCUACUUCGACGUGAAGAUAUUCAGGAGCAUUAGUCAGUGGUGUUUGAUUUGGUCAUUAGACAUUAGCAGAUUAGUCGGUGGGCCGUUUGGCUAAGCUUAAAAGAAGUUACUUAUUGCUUAAAGUAGAGAAGUGAAUUAUAAGUGAUAAAUAGAUAUAAUUUAUAAGUUGUUAAAGUGUUUGGAUAAUGCUAAUAAUAAACUGGUGGAGGUUUUGAUAA